rnacentral:rRNA from 1 species
AUUGAACGCUGGCGGCAGGCCUAACACAUGCAAGUCGAGCGGAUGAAGGGAGCUUGCUCCUGGAUUCAGCGGCGGACGGGUGAGUAAUGCCUAGGAAUCUGCCUGGUAGUGGGGGAUAACGUCCGGAAACGGGCGCUAAUAGCGCAUACGUCCUGAGGGAGAAAGUGGGGGAUCUUCGGACCUCACGCUAUCAGAUGAGCCUAGGUCGGAUUAGCUAGUUGGUGGGGUAAAGGCCUACCAAGGCGACGAUCCGUAACUGGUCUGAGAGGAUGAUCAGUCACACUGGAACUGAGACACGGUCCAGACUCCUACGGGAGGCAGCAGUGGGGAAUAUUGGACAAUGGGCGAAAGCCUGAUCCAGCCAUGCCGCGUGUGUGAAGAAGGUCUUCGGAUUGUAAACCACUUUAAGUUGGGAGGAAGGGCAGUAAGUUAAUACCUUGCUGUUUUGACGGUACCAACAGAAUAAGCACCGGCUAACUUCGUG